UACGGGGGGAGCAAGCGUUGUUCGGAUUUACUGGGCGUAAAGGGCGCGUAGGCGGUCAGCACAAGUCAGUUGUGAAAUCUCCGGGCUUAACUCGGAAAGGUCAACUGAUACUGUGCGACUAGAGUGCAGAAGGGGCAACUGGAAUUCUCGGUGUAGCGGUGAAAUGCGCAGAUAUCAGGAAGAACACCCGUGGCGAAGGCGGCUCUCUGGGACGGUACUGACGCUGAGGAGCGAAAGCGUGGGGAGCGAACAGG
rnacentral:rRNA from 1 species